rnacentral:rRNA from 1 species
UCUUUUCCUUUUUUUCCCUCCUCCUCUUUCCUCCUUCCUUUCCUUUCUUUCUCCUUAUUUAUUUUUUUUAAAUUGAGCGUAGGCCGGAGAUUAAGCGUGUUGUGAAAUGUAGACGCUCAACGUCUGCACUGCAGCGCGAACUGGUUUCCUUGAGUACGCACAAAGUGGGCGGAAUUCGUGGUGUAGCGGUGAAAUGCUUAGAUAUCACGAAGAACUCCGAUUGAGAAGGAAGAUAAAGGGAGAGAAAAGGAAGAGGAAGAGAGAAAGGGAGGGGAGAGAAAAGG